rnacentral:rRNA from 1 species
AACGAACGCUGGCGGCAUGCCUAACACAUGCAAGUCGAACGAGGCCUUCGGGUCUAGGGGCGCACGGGUGCGUAACGCGUGGGAACCUGCCCUUGGGUUCAGAAUGACCCCCAGAUAGGGGUGAUAAUACCGGAUAAUGUCUUAGACCCAAAGGGUUAUCGCCAUUGAUUGGGCCCGUGUUGGAUUAGCUAGUUGUUAGGGUAAAAGCCUACCAAGGCGACGUUCCAUAGCGGGUCUGAGAGGAUGAUAAGCCACACUGGAACCGAGACACGGCCCAGACUCAUACGGGAGGCAGCAGUGGUGAAUAUUGGACGAUAGGCGAAAGCAGGAUCCAGCAAUGCCGCGUGAGUGAUGAAGGCCUUAGGGUUGUAAAGAUCUUUGACGCGGGAUGAUAAUGACAGUACCGGGAGAAUAAGCUCCGGCUAACUCCGUG